rnacentral:rRNA from 1 species
GAGAAGCUUGCUUCUUGGGUGGCGAGUGGCGAACGGGUGAGUAACAUAUCGGAACGUACCGAGUAAUGGGGGAUAACUAAUCGAAAGAUUAGCUAAUACCGCAUAUUCUCUGAGGAGGAAAGCAGGGGACCUUCGGGCCUUGCGUUAUUCGAGCGGCCGAUAUCUGAUUAGCUAGUUGGUGGGGUAAAGGCCUACCAAGGCGACGAUCAGUAGCGGGUCUGAGAGGAUGAUCCGCCACACUGGGACUGAGACACGGCCCAGACUCCUACGGGAGGCAGCAGUGGGGAAUUUUGGACAAUGGGCGCAAGCCUGAUCCAGCCAUGCCGCGUGUCUGAGGAAGGCCUUCGGGUUGUAAAGGACUUUUGUCAGGGAAGAAAAGGCUGUUGCUAAUAUCGACAGUUGAUGACGGUACCUGAAGAAUAAGCACCGGCUAACUACGUGCCGGCAGCCGCGGUAAUACGUAGGGUGCGAGCGUUAAUCGGAAUUACUGGGCGUAAAGCGAGCGCAGACGGUUACUUAAGCAGGAUGUGAAAUCCCCGGGCUCAACCUGGGAACUGCGUUCUGAACUGGGUGACUAGAGUGUGUCAGAGGGAGGUAGAAUUCCACGUGUAGCAGUGAAAUGCGUAGAGAUGUGGAGGAAUACCGAUGGCGAAGGCAGCCUCCUGGGAUAACACUGACGUUCAUGCUCGAAAGCGUGGGUAGCAAACAGGAUUAGAUACCCUGGUAGUCCACGCCCUAAACGAUGUCAAUUAGCUGUUGGGCAACUUGAUUGCUUAGUAGCGU